rnacentral:misc_RNA from 1 species
AAAAUAACAAGAGUUACCAAGCAAAAUUCAGAUUACCAACCAGUAGAAAUUAAUAGCAGAAAUAAUGAGGGACCAAAGGUACAUUGUUAAUGCUUCUUUCCUACUACACUCAUAAUGUGCUUAAAUCGCCAUCAAUUGUCAUUAGGAGGGCAGAAGGUAAUGACAUAGCGAGGAGCCUUGCAAGUCUUAAGCCCUGAAGCAUCAUCAUAGGCAAAACUGUAAGCCCCAGGGCAAAUGGCCUUAAAAAGAUGAGCAAAAAUAGUAGGCUUGCAACUUUUAGGAUCUGCAUAGUCCCCAGUACAGCAAUACCUAUCAGUCUUGGCAGCCAAACAUGCACUUUUGCAACCCACCACCUUCCCUUGUCUCUUCACAACCAAUGCUUCAGGGCAACAGACAUUCAAAUCAGCCUCGCAGGAAGCGACUCCACACCCUUCACCACCGCCUAUAGGCACCAUGGAAACUGGGAUAUUAAACCCAUCAACCAAACUCACAUCAUAGUAAUGCAAGUCAGAAUUUGAAGUCCCAAGUGUCAUUUCCACUAUAGAUGCUGGAGGAACACCACCAAUGCCUCCACAUUGUAAAAGGCCUGCACAGUCUCCAGUCUGGCAAGAACCUUUGCCAGUGUUCUCAUCGAAACAGCAGCCUUGUCUUGGCCAGAUUCUGCCUGACCAUUGCUCAGGGACUUGGAGGACUGUUUGUUCGCCACUUGAGAGUUGGAAACCACCUUCUCUAGGAGUUUCAUGGCCUGCAGUGCCAAGUAUUCCAGGCCAUACGCUUUCCUUGCAGUUAUUUACUAUAAUGAGUUCAGUUCCAUCUGCAAGAAAACAUGGAAAAGGCAUUAAUAUGCGACGUCUUUACUGAGCAUAUAGUAAGAAAUAAAAUAGGGGUCAUUUAGAUUUGAUGAACCUGCAGAGGAGGAGGAGAUGAAAAGAAG